rnacentral:rRNA from 1 species
UCGGGGUACUCGAGUGGCGAACGGGUGAGUAACACGUAGGGCAAUCUGCCCUGCACACCGGGAUAAGCCUGGGAAACUGGGUCUAAUCUGGAACCGGAUAGGACCACUUGGCGCAUGCCUUGUGUNNGUGGAAAGCUUUUGCGGUGUGGGAUGGGCCCGCGGCCUAUCAGCUUGUUGGUGGGGUGACGGCCUACCAAGGCGACGACGGGUAGCCGGCCUGAGAGGGUGUCCGGCCACACCUGGGACUGAGAUACGGCCCAGACUCCUACGGGAGGCAGCAGUGGGGAAUAUUGCACAAUGGGCGCAAGCCUGAUGCAGCGACGCCGCGUGGGGGGAUGACGGCCUUCGGGUUGUAAACCUCUUUCACCAUCGACGAAGGUCCGGGUUUUCUCGGAUUGACGGUAGGUGGAGAAGAAGCACCGGCCAACUACGUGCCAGCAGCCGCGGUAAUACGUAGGGUGCGAGCGUUGUCCGGAAUUACUGGGCGUAAAGAGCUCGUAGGUGGUUUGUCGCGUUGUUCGUGAAAUCUCACGGCUUAACUGUGAGCGUGCGGGCGAUACGGGCAGACUAGAGUACUGCAGGGGAGACUGGAAUUCCUGGUGUAGCGGUGGAAUGCGCAGAUAUCAGGAGGAACACCGGUGGCGAAGGCGGGUCUCUGGGCAGUAACUGACGCUGAGGAGCGAAAGCGUGGGGAGCGAACAGGAUUAGAUACCCUGGUAGUCCACGCCGUAAACGGUGGGUACUAGGUGUGGGUUUCCUUCCUUGGGAUCCGUGCCGUAGCUAACGCAUUAAGUACCCCGCCUGGGGAGUACGGCCGCAAGGCUAAAACUCAAAGGAAUUGACGGGGGCCCGCACAAGCGGCGGAGCAUGUGGAUUAAUUCGAUGCAACGCGAAGAACCUUACCUGGGUUUGACAUGCACAGGACGCGUCUAGAGAUAGGCGUUCCCUUGUGGCCUGUGUGCAGGUGGUGCAUGGCUGUCGUCAGCUCGUGUCGUGAGAUGUUGGGUUAAGUCCCGCAACGAGCGCAACCCUUGUCUCAUGUUGCCAGCGGGUAAUGCCGGGGACUCGUGAGAGACUGCCGGGGUCAACUCGGAGGAAGGUGGGGAUGACGUCAAGUCAUCAUGCCCCUUAUGUCCAGGGCUUCACACAUGCUACAAUGGCCGGUACAAAGGGCUGCGAUGCCGCGAGGUUAAGCGAAUCCUUUUAAAGCCGGUCUCAGUUCGGAUCGGGGUCUGCAACUCGACCCCGUGAAGUCGGAGUCGCUAGUAAUCGCAGAUCAGCAACGCUGCGGUGAAUACGUUCCCGGGCCUUGUACACACCGCCCGUCACGUCAUGAAAGUCGGUAACACCCGAAGCC